GAUGAAGAAGGUAGCGAAAUGCGAUAAGUAAUGUGAAUUGCAGAAUUCAGUGAAUCAUCGAAUCUUUGAACGCACAUUGCGCCCGCCAGUAUUCUGGCGGGCAUGCCUGUUCGAGCGUCAUUUCAACCAUCAAGCCCCAGGCUUGUGUUGGGGACCUGCGGCUGCCGCAGGCCCUGAAAACCAGUGGCGGGCUCGCUGUCACACCGGGCGUAGUAGAUUUUAUCUCGCUCUGGGCGUGCUGCGGGUUCCGGCCGUUAAAAAACCCUUUUAACCCAAGGUUGACCUCGGAUCAGGUAGGAAUACCCGCUGAACUUAAGCAUAUCAAUAAGCGGAGGA
rnacentral:misc_RNA from 1 species